rnacentral:lncRNA from 1 species
UCGCCUUGUGAGUGAGUGUGUGGCAUACAAAUCAACGAAAGAAAAAAAUAAAAAUAAAAAUUGUCUUAGUCUCUACAGCGUAACAGAAGAGUUACGAUAUCGACUAAAUAAAAGUCCCCGGCAACGGCGCCAAAAACUUGAUCGCGACUUUAUGAGUCGACUUGGGGUACUAACUGCAAGUGCACAGUUCUAUCGCGUAGUUUUAAAAGAUAUCGAUC